AUACGUAGGGAGCAAGCGUUGUCCGGAAUUACUGGGCGUAAAGGGCGUGUAGGCGGCCGAUCAAGUCAGGUGUGAAAUUUCAGGGCUCAACCCUGAGCGUGCACUUGAAACUGGUUGGCUUGAGUGCAGAAGAGGAAAGUGGAAUUCCCAGUGUAGCGGUGAAAUGCGUAGAUAUUGGGAGGAACACCAGUGGCGAAGGCGACUUUCUGGUCUGUAACUGACGCUGAGGCGCGAAAGCUAGGGGAGCGAACAGGAUUAGAUACCCUGGUAGUCCUAGCCGUAAACGAUGGGUACUAGGUGUAGGGGGUCUAGACGCCCUCUGUGCCGCAGUUAACACAUUAAGUACCCCGCCUGGGGAGUACGGCCGCAAGGCUGAAACUCAAAUGAAUUGACGGGG
rnacentral:rRNA from 1 species